rnacentral:rRNA from 7 species
GAUCAUUACCGAGUUUCUUGCCCUAACGGGUAGAUCUCCCACCCUUGUGUAUUUAUACCAUGUUGCUUUGGCGCCGUCCGGCCUCGCGGCCCGGCGCCAAAGGCCCUAACCUCUGUCAAUAACUGUCGUCUGAGUACUAUAUAAUAGUUAAAACUUUCAACAACGGAUCUCUUGGUUCUGGCAUCGAUGAAGAACGCAGCGAAAUGCGAUAAGUAAUGUGAAUUGCAGAAUUCAGUGAAUCAUCGAAUCUUUGAACGCACAUUGCGCCCCUUGGUAUUCCGGGGGGCAUGCCUGUUCGAGCGUCAUUUCAACCCUUACGCCUGGCGUAGUCUUGGGCCGUACCCUCACGGGUAGGCCUUAAAAUCAGUGGCGGUGCCCUUGCGGUCCUGAGCGUAGUACUUUUUUCUCGCUAUAGGCCCCGGGAGGACGCUUGCCAGCAACCCCAAUUUUUUUCUGGUUGACCUCGGAUCAGGUAGGGAUACCCGCUGAACUUAAGCAUAUCAAUAAGCGGAGGAAAAGAAACCAACAGGGAUUACCUCAGUAACGGCGAGUGAAGCGGUAAAAGCUCAAAUUUGAAAUCUGGCCCUUUCAGGGUCCGAGUUGUAAUUUGUAGAAGAUGUUUCGGGUGUGGCUCCGGGCUAAGUUCCUUGGAACAGGGCGUCAUAGAGGGUGAGAAUCCCGUAUGUGCCUGGCAGCCUACGCCUAUGUGAAACUCUUUCGACGAGUCGAGUUGUUUGGGAAUGCAGCUCAAAAUGGGUGGUAAAUUUCAUCUAAAGCUAAAUAUUGGCCAGAGACCGAUAGCGCACAAGUAGAGUGAUCGAAAGAUGAAAAGCACUUUGGAAAGAGAGUUAAACAGUACGUGAAAUUGUUGAAAGGGAAGCGCUUGCAAUCAGACUUGGGCCUAGGCGAUCAUGUAGGGUUCUCCCUGCUGCACUCGGUUAGGCCCAGGCCAGCAUCGGUUUUGGUGGUGGGAUAAAGGCCCUGGGAAUGUGGCCCCUCUCGGGGGGUGUUAUAGCCCAGGGUGCAAUGCCGCCUACUGGGACCGAGGACCGCGCU